UACAGAGGUGGCAAGCGUUGUUCGGAAUUACUGGGCGUAAAGGGCGCGUAGGCGGCCAUCUAAGUCAGACGUGAAAUCCCCCGGCUUAACCUGGGAACUGCGUCUGAUACUGGACGGCUCGAGUUUGGGAGAGGGAUGCAGAAUUCCAGGUGUAGCGGUGAAAUGCGCAGAUAUCUGGAGGAAUACCGGUGGCGAAGGCGGCAUCCUGGACUAACACUGAACGCUGAGGCGCGAAAGCUAGGGGAGCAAACAGG
rnacentral:rRNA from 1 species